rnacentral:lncRNA from 1 species
CUCUCACAAGCUUACAUUGGUUGGGUUCUGAAGAAAUAAAAAUAGAAAGGAAAAAGUCAUACGUACUUAGUGUCUAUAAGUAGAAAGUAGCACACUGAGGGUUUGGAGUUGGAUGGACCCAGUCACACCCUGAAGUCCCGAUUUGUUUCAACUGACCCUGCAAGGUCCUGCAAAAUUUCCCGUCUGAAACUCCCACCAAAAUGCCUCAAGACAGGGCCAGAGGGCUGGGAGAAGGUGGUGCUGGUUUCUUCAGGAUCCUUUCCGUUGAUGGUCCAAGAAACUCCAUGUGCAAGUUGGGACUCCAAGGAGGAAGUUUGACAGUUUAACUUCCCGCUGAUCUCACGAGAAGAUACUGAAGAGUGAAAAUGCCUGGUCGGAGAGAGGGAGCUGGGAGGAAGCCUGGUGACAGCCACCCAAGGAGCCGCUGGUGGUGAUUCU